UACGUAGGGUGCGAGCGUUAAUCGGAAUUACUGGGCGUAAAGCGUGCGUAGGCGGUUCGUUAAGUUCGUUGUGAAGGCCCCGGGCUCAACCUGGGAAUGGCAAUGGAAACUGGCGGGCUUGAGUAUGGCAGAGGGGGGUGGAAUUCCGCGUGUAGCAGUGAAAUGCGUAGAGAUGCGGAGGAACACCGAUGGCGAAGGCAGCCCCCUGGGCCAAUACUGACGCUCAGGCACGAAAGCGUGGGGAGCAAACAGG
rnacentral:rRNA from 1 species